GUGCUCACUUCAGCAGCACAUACACUAAAAUUGGAACGAAACAGAGAAGAUUAGCAUGGACUUGCGCAAGGGUGACACGCAAAUUCAUGAAGCGUUUCACACAGAA